UACGUAGGGGGGCAAGCGUUGUCCGGAUUUAUUGGGCGUAAAGAGCUCGUAGGCGGUUGGGCAAGUCACGUGUGAAAUCUCCACGCUCAACGUGGAGGCGCCACGUGAGACUGCCCUGACUCGAGUCCGGUAGGGGAGCGUGGAAUUCCCGGUGUAGCGGUGAAAUGCGCAGAGAUCGGGAGGAACACCCGUGGCGAAGGCGGCUCUCUGGGACGGUACUGACGCUGAGACGCGAAAGCGUGGGGAGCGAACAGG
rnacentral:rRNA from 1 species